UCCCUGGUGGUCCAGUGAUUAGGACUCUGUGCUUCUAUUGCAGGAGGCCUGGGUUUGAUCCCUGGUCAGGGAA
rfam:TPA: Bos taurus chromosome 13, whole genome shotgun sequence.